rnacentral:lncRNA from 1 species
CUAGAAUGCAGUGACUUAUGAGGACGUGCAUGUGAACUUCACUCAAGAGGAGUGGGCUCUGCUGGAUCCUUCUCAGAAGAAGCUCUACAAAGAUGUCAUGCUGGAGACCUACAGGAACCUCAAUGCUAUAGGCUUUAAUUGGGAAGCCCAAAAUAUUGAAGAAUAUUGUCAAAGUUCUAGAAGACACAGAAGGUGUGAAAGGAUUCAGAGUGCAGAGAAACCCUCUGAAUAUACUCAACGUGAUAAAGCCUUUGUUUUAUGUGCUCACAGUCAUGCUCAAAGGCAUGAAAGGAUUCAUACAGAAAAGAUGCCCUCUGAAGAUAUUCACUGUGUCGAAGACGUUUUACCUUACACUAGUCUCCAAGUACAUAAAAGAAC